rnacentral:rRNA from 1 species
UACGAAGGGGGCUAGCGUUGUUCGGAUUUACUGGGCGUAAAGCGCACGUAGGCGGAUUGUUAAGUCAGGGGUGAAAUCCUGGAGCUCAACUCCAGAACUGCCUUUGAUACUGGCAAUCUAGAGUCCGGAAGAGGUGAGUGGAACUCCUAGUGUAGAGGUGGAAUUCGUAGAUAUUAGGAAGAACACCAGUGGCGAAGGCGGCGACCUGGUCCGUUACUGACGCUGAUGCGCGACAGCGUGGGGAGCAAACAGG